UACGUAGGGUCCGAGCGUUGUCCGGAAUUAUUGGGCGUAAAGGGCUCGUAGGCGGUUUGUUGCGUCGGGAGUGAAAACUCACAGCUCAACUGUGGGCGUGCGGGCGAUACGGGCAGACUAGAGUACUGCAGGGGAGACUGGAAUUCCUGGUGUAGCGGUGGAAUGCGCAGAUAUCAGGAGGAACACCGGUGGCGAAGGCGGGUCUCUGGGCAGUAACUGACGCUGAGGCGCGAAAGCGUGGGGAGCAAACAGG
rnacentral:rRNA from 1 species